UCCAAAUCCCAAUUGGAUUUCCAAGCAAUCUGUAAGUGACUAGGAGACCACAUUAAUUAGGCAUCAUUGGGAUUUCUCCCAAUAGGUGCGGCUUUAGGAAAUAAAAAUAUAUUCCAACAGAGUACUUGUUCUACUUGUUCAUUACCAACUCCAAACAAGAAAAUGUUGGGAUUGGAAAAUGAUGGCAGAGAUGACAGGGUAGAGUAGUAAUGGAGGAAAUGCAAGACUACAUGUGGAGAUCAUCAUAGUUGCCGUCAGGUGACCUGCAGAGCGACAAAGAUUUGUUGGAUACUUUCUCAGAUGUGGAUGGCUUCAUUGAAGAGCUAAGGUACUGGAUUUCCUUCACUUCAUCCAUCGUCAUCUACCUUAGUGAUGAGCAUACCUAUCCACAUGGACAUCAAGACUUAAAACAAAAUUUAAGUUAAAGACAUUUAACCACAGUAGUGAUAAAUAAAAUUUUAAAAUGUCUUUAAAGCUUAUGGUCCCUCCUUAGCGAGAAUACGAAUAUCCAUUAGGCUUCUAUUGAAAGCUUCCUCUCGAGUAUUCGGAUCAAAUCAGAACGAAGAGCCUGCAACUGGAGGGUUUCGAGUGGCAAAACCUCCAAAGUCUAAAACCCUAGUGAGAGAGAGAAGCGGGUGUUUUGGGUUUAUUUCUUUCCUCUUGGUGGAGUUCGCAGAUCACCCCUUUGCUGGUGUGGAGGAAAGUUCAAAAUUUGUGCAGUCCACAUGUUCGACGAAAUGACAGCUCAAGAUUUUUGUGAAGGAAACUCUGGUGUUCGAAUUUUGGGGCAUAAAUCCACCAAACAGAUAAUCAUUUUCCAGAGCUGACCGUAAGAGAAACAUUGGAUUUUACAGCUAGAUGUCAAGAUGCAAGUGAAGCCUAUGCAGCAUUCAUGAAUGAUUUGGUACGGUUAGAGAGGGAAAGGAACAUAAGGCCGGAUCCAGAAAUUGAUGCAUUUAUGAAGAGUUUGCAAUUGGGGUGUGUAUACGCGUGUUCUUUAUGCUGUCCCUGAAACAUGUGAUCAUGUUUACCUUUUUGAUAAUGACCAUGAUGAUGCAAAAGAUAUCUACAGGAAAUCCAUGCGUUACAGAUUCCCAUAUGAUCAGAGUGGUCGACUUAUCUUGGAGUAGAAGACACGUUCAUGAGGCAGCACAGAGGAAAAUCCUUCCCGCUUCUUCCAUGCUCUGGGUUCGCAACCUCUGCUGCUUCCAGCUCCAAACUCGGAUCCGAAGGCCUCAUGGGUAUCUUCUCUGAUAUUAGAGGCUGUUACUUAGUGCUCUACGCUGAAUGACCUAUUUUUGAGAAAGGAAUGGAUUACUUUCAGGCAUUUUCCAUAUACAAUUGGAUCAUGAUAAUAUUUUGAUGCAUUUCAAUUUAUUCCACAUGUGAAUAGUUUUGAAUUCAAAGUUUAGUUGGUGGACUGCUCCCACUCAUGUCUGUCUGCUAAAAUUAAGAAUGGAAAUAUCACUGAUAAACCUUGGAGCCUCAGGGUCACUCUUUCUCUCCUCGCUCACUCUUCCUCUUUCUCUUCUCUGCGUUCUUCCUCUGCUCUCCUCUCUCUUCGCUCCCCAUAUCUCUCUGUUUGGUAUGAUUAUGUCUCUUAACAAGCAUUAAUAAACAGAACGAUUUCGAUCAAUAAUUUUAUUCGGUCAUGAUUCAAACUCCCAUUGUAGAUCAAACUAUAAGUCAAGCUACCCAUUGCAGAGCAAACUAUGAGUCAAACCCCCAUUUCAGGACAAACUGGGAAGGAGGAGGCGCAAUAGGGCAUGGCUAUUUCCGGGGCAUCGGUCGUUUUGAGAUUCUGGUAACAUUUAUAUAAGCUAGCUUAUUUUUAGACCAUUGUUUAGGUGUACAUAAUUGUUUAAUGGCUUUGUACCUUUCCAUUUUGUCAGCUAUAGAUGUUCUAAAAGAUACACAUACCCCUCCACGGAGAAUCAAGUUCAUUAGUUUACAUUAUGUAUCAUUUUUGUAAUGUAAGAAACCACCACCAUCUAAAAGUUUUAGUGAAGUUGUAUUUUAAAGUCAGGUUGGUAGGACAAGUUGCUAUAUAUAUGUUUAAAAAGUUUUCAACUUCGAAUUUUGUGAUGUGUGAUUGCAGAGCAAGGAGAAAGUGACCCCGAUUAGCUCCAAGCUUGCAGUAAACUUUUCUUUUUGUUCAAGGAACCCAGAAGAGUCUUGAAUUCAGUUUCCAAACUCGGACUGAAAAUGGAACUUGGUGCUAUUAAGCUAUCAUCCUCAGCCCUCAGAAUUCAGGUAGCCCCAUGACUAUUACAUUGCUGUUUUGUUUUAUGUACUAAUUAUUGUUCUAUGAAUUGUAUUCUUCAGUUAAUAAUAAUUCAUCCUCCUUUCCCAU